AUAUCGCAUGCGAUUAAUCGUGCAGCCCUAUUUUGGAUACAAUGUGACUUUAAAUCUCUUGUCUUUAAUGAACGUCUUUUUUCAUCCCACUUUUGAUGUUUGUUGCUUACUCCAUCCAUGAUUUACAUAUCAUUCACUUAGAGUAUAAUUAAUUAAUCAGCUUUCCCUUAAUUGUGUUGAUUACCUGGUGUCUCCAAUUAGUGUCUUGAACUGCGUAUAUAUGCAGGUGAUUUAUAAGGUUUAAAGCCAGAAGAUUGUGCAAGAUGGUCUGAAAUGUUUACAGAAUUUUCUUUUUUUUUUUCUUUUCUUUUCUUACUUUUUUUUUGUUUUUUUUUGUUUGAACACUUUUGCAUUUUGUUGUCACUUUAUAUGAAAAUUAUCAAAUAUGUAGAUCCCCUUUUUUGCUUCCUGGCACACAGGAGAGUUACAGGAGCAAAUCUGAGAUUUUAGUUUUAUUCCUUUAGUUAUUAGUUAACUUGCCUCCCGCCAGUAAAUGCAUAAAAGAAGAAGAAACACUGAAGAACAACAGAAGAAGUGAUGAACUGGAGUUUCUCCGGACAGCUGCUGUUUCUAAUUGGAUGUUGCCACGUUAUUGGGAACUUGCCACGCUGAGGGAGAAUUGGGAAGCUGCCACGCAUGUUCAUUCGCUUUUUUGUUGUUGUGUGUGUGUGUGUGUGUGGGCUUUUCUUUUCCGCAUGUUCAUAAGUGUCACAUCGGUCUAGAUUUGUUCAUGUUUUCAGUUCAGUUGUCUUUAUUUUGUCAUUGCUGAUGAUCAUAGUGUUGUCCUCUGUUUUCCUGCUGGUGUCUCUUGUCUUCAUUGGUUCAUUGCUCUAUCUGCUUUUUAUUCCAGUUCUGUUUGUUCCUUUAUUUCUGCUUUUUUGUUUGUUUGUUUCUCUCAUCUGUAACUGUCCUCGUGAUCAAACUACAGACUGUCAAUACACUCCUAAUUUUAUUGGUGACAUGUGAGUGUGAGCAGCUCCCCUCAUCUUCAUCUCUGCUCUUCUCCAUAAAAUGCAUCUCAAUCUCAUCAUCUGCAGAGAAACUGCUGCUCGAUCACCAGAAUGAUGGCCUGAAUGCUUCAGAGAGGAUUGUGAAGAGAUUCCACUGGAACUUGUUCUUAAUCACAUCUGUGUUCUGAUUCCUUUGUGUUUUACUUCAUGCAUUUAUUAAUCUUCAGUGUCAGUUGUCAUUUAUUAAUACAUUCAGGUGAUAACUGUUCAAAGCAGUGAUAUUUGUGCUACAAUUUCACAUGCCAAUAAAAAGCAAAUUAUAUGGACACUUCAUGUUUAAUGGAAUUAAAUGAUUAGUUAAUUGCAUUUUAAUAGAUUACACUUUCAAUAACACAUUUGGAUUUGUUUGUAAAAGCUGUGUUUAUGCAUGGUUUUAAUACAGCGUGUGGUGUUUCCAGCGAUUCACUGAAUCAUUCUGUGAAGCAAUUGAUUCAGAGUUUGUAAAUGAUUAAUUUCUCCAUCGCUAGCAAAGCUGGGUUUCUGAUAUAUUUGAGCUUUAUCAUUGCGAAAAGCAAGCACGUUUAAUUUCCACUGGUUACAACAGAUUAAAGAUGAGACCCACUUUAUAAUAAUGUUAAAUUGAAUGCACUUUAAAUGCAUAAAAAA